rnacentral:misc_RNA from 1 species
GCAAACUUGGUCAUUUAGAGGAAGUAAAAGUCGUAACAAGGUAACCGUAGGUGAACCUGCGGUUGGAUCAUUAAAAAGAUCGUUGGAGCAAUCCAAGUUUCCUUGGGGAGCUCCUUUGUCUCACUCUUUGUGAGUCAUAACAUAUUGUGCACUGUUUUCGUCUCUGGCGGUGGGAUGGCAUUUCUUUAUUGAUGUGGCCAUCUGUCAGCAUGCCUUUACUGUCGUGCCGUGGACAAGCCGCCAACCAUCUUUUAUAAACAUUGUUUUUCUUUAAAGCGUCUAACCUAAACCAUUUUUGUGUAUGCAAUAUACAAAAACAACUUUUGGCAACGGAUCUCUUGGCUCUCGCAUCGAUGAAGAACGCAGC